GCGCUCUCCUAGAUGAAGGGGGGGGGGGGGUCCGUUCAACUCUCCGAGCGCAGUGCUGCUGGGGUAUUUAAACCCUGCAGCGCUCGCGCCCGUUUUGCCGCCCUGCGCCAGCCCGCUCUCCCAGGCAGGGGAUCCUUUGAUCCUCCCG